GAGCUGGAGGACUACAUUGUGGAAAUUGAGAUCCUGGCCACCUGCGACCACCCCUACAUUGUGAAGCUCCUGGGAGCCUACUAUCACGACGGGAAGCUGUGGAUCAUGAUUGAGUUCUGUCCAGGGGGAGCCGUGGACGCCAUCAUGCUGGAGCUGGACAGAGGCCUCACGGAGCCCCAGAUACAGGUCGUUUGCCGCCAGAUGCUAGAAGCCCUCAACUUCCUGCACAGCAAGAGGAUCAUCCACCGAGACCUGAAAGCUGGCAACGUGCUGAUGACCCUCGAGGGAGACAUCAGGCUGGGAUGGCCCCCGAGGUGGUCCUGUGUGAGACCAUGAAGGACACGCCCUACGACUACAAAGCCGACAUCUGGUCCCUGGGCAUCACGCUGAUUGAGAUGGCCCAGAUCGAGCCGCCACACCACGAGCUCAACCCCAUGCGGGUCCUGCUAAAGAU
rnacentral:sRNA from 1 species